AUUUGCCACGCAGAUUUACAAAUUUGCGAUGCACUGCGUGUCCACCUAAGAAUGUACGAUAAUUUCGGUUUCUAAAAUUUAAUUAUUACCUUUUCCUUUUUUAUUUUAUUUGGUGCGACGCAGUCUACCUGCUCAUAUUCCCUUUCUCUCCUAUUCUCUCAUACAUAUCCUGCCUCCCCUGUACAACUCUUUCUCUCUCGUAUUUUCCAGAUCUCCAUUGUUGAAACUCCAAAGCUUCUCUGUCGAUCUCUCCUUCAAAAUCAAUAUCGAGCUUUCCCUUUAAAGUCUCCUCUCACCAAAUCAUCCCAAUCUCUCAUAUUUGUUUUAAAAUUCAAGCUUAGCGAAUACGAAGGAGGCAAACCCAGAUCUGAAAGCGAUGACUUCUUCAGCCAGAUUUCAAGCCGCGUUCUCUGAAAACUCCAGCUCUGAGUUGGAUGAAUCGGCGACGAAUCAUCUUGGGUGCGGUGGAAGUGGGGCUGAGUUUUGGGGCAUUAUGUUGAGUCGACUCAGACUGAGUUGGUCCCGAGUUACACCGGUACAUGCCUUCAAAUUGCAGAAAAGUGGGGAGAGAAAGAGGGAUAUAGCUGGGUUUUCGAAACAGUGAAAUCUGCAAGUGUCUUCUUCAUCUGCGAGCUUCCAUUCCAGCAUAUUGUCCAUGAAAUUUCUCAGGAUUUCAAGCAUUCACUUGAUUAUCAUACCCGAUUAUGGUCCAGUUGACAGUAACGUCAGAGGAGAAGUCAUGGCAGGAGUUGCACCUGAAGGUUCCCAAUAUGAUGCUCGCCAGUAUGACAGCAAAAUGAGUGAAUUUUUUCAGUACUGAACCUCUUGCUUGUGAUCCAUCAACGCUUCCAAAAUAUCCACCAACCAAGGAGAUGGAUGCCAAACGACGUGGUGACGAAGCACGAAGGACGGAUAUUGUUUCAGCGAUGCAUGGUGACAAAUCCGCUAACUUAAGUGUGGUUGGAAAAUGCCUAGAGAAGGUUUUAGAGGAGUCUCGUUUUGCGAAUAAGUUUGUGCUACCAUAUAAGGAAGUCCAUGAAGACUCCAGUAACACUUUUUUUGGGAUGGGUCCUUACAUGAAUUUCCCCUAUAGAAUAUUAUAACCGUAAGGUCUAGAUGUUGGUGCUCCGGUAUAUCUUUCCGGCUUCGAUACCAUAUUUUUGUUCUUUUGAUAAUUUCUGUAACUUUUAACAUUCUGGAAUUUUGUUUAAAUUGAAUGUCACUAUAUUUGCA